GCUUAGCCCAGAUAGCAGCGAAAUCCUUUUGUGCUGGAGUUCGGCAAAAAAGAUUGGAGCGUAUAGCGGGAAAAGCU
rnacentral:sRNA from 1 species